rnacentral:rRNA from 1 species
GAUGAACGCUGGCGGCGUGCCUAAUACAUGCAAGUCGAGCGAACAGACGAGGAGCUUGCUCCUCUGACGUUAGCGGCGGACGGGUGAGUAACACGUGGAUAACCUACCUAUAAGACUGGGAUAACUUCGGGAAACCGGAGCUAAUACCGGAUAAUAUAUUGAACCGCAUGGUUCAAUAGUGAAAGACGGUUUUGCUGUCACUUAUAGAUGGAUCCGCGCCGCAUUAGCUAGUUGGUAAGGUAACGGCUUACCAAGGCAACGAUGCGUAGCCGACCUGAGAGAGUGAUCGGCCACACUGGAACUGAGACACGGUCCAGACCCCUACGGGAGGCAGCAGUAGGGAAUCUUCCGCAAUGGGCGAAAGCCUUACGGAGCAACGCCGCGUGAGUGAUGAAGGUCUUCGGAUCGUAAAACUCUGUUAUUAGGGAAGAACAAAUGUGUAAGUAACUAUGCACGUCUUGACGGUACCUAAUCAGAAAGCCACGGCUAACUACGUG